GCCAACAUUCAGCCUCCUCUGCCCAUCAGCCUUGCUGACACAGGGAGUGGAGAUUUGUGUAGAGAAAUGACUCAUUCAAAUAUGACUUAAUCUAAACCGUAAGUGUAUGAUUUAUUAAUGUGCCACCAGGCCUUACACCAAGAGAGCCAUUCCAGAGAAAAGUCCUUUUUCUCCUGAGAACAGUGCCAGCAGCUGGCUUCGUGACAUUCUGGAAGCCCCGUGCAAUGCUGUCAGGAGCAUAGGGAUUUUACUUUAUCUCCCUUGCUUAUGCUCCACAUAACUGAAAUAUCUCACUGGAAGCUGCAGCAGUGCUGGCCCCUUGCACAGCCAUAUGUGACCACUGCAGAACAAUCAGUUGGAGAGACAGUUUGGACUACAUGGAGGGUGGAGAUAAGGACAAAGUGAAGAAUACACAGGAACCAGUGCCUCCUCCUGGAACUAUGCAACUCCAAGCUGCUUCCAUCAGCUGCUAGGUCCAGUAGGGAGGGACCUACUGAGAGGUACUCAGACCCAGAACAUACUGUUUUCACUCCAAGAGUCUGAAUGUCUCUUUUCUGAGAAAGAUGAAGAAAAAGUACUUUUUUCAUGAAUUUAAUACUCAUUAAAGUCAAUAGUCGGAAAGCCUGGCUAAUUAGCAGACUUCUUCAGAGGACUUUAAAUAAUAUAGUUACUGUAUUUUUAUUAUAUUGAAAUCUCCAAAUAUAUAAAGUUAGAAUCUUCAAGGUGGGAGGAAGAGGAGAAAUUGGAUUUCUCUAAGCUCCCUAGUGAUUCUGAUGAUGACUCAUUUGGGGAAGUGCAGCAUUGAAUGGCCCUUCUAAAAUGAGGACAGCUAUUUUUUGGACUAAGCACCCCUCCCGACUCUCCCCAUUCCUCAUCCUCUCAGAGACUUCUCUCUCUCAGAUUGCCCCAUCUGUCUCAUGUAUUAUAAUCACUUCCCCUCUACUGGUUUCUUCUCAUACGUUUAACUUGUUCAAGUGCCUUCCAUCUUUAAAAACAGUCAAGGCACAGCCCUUGAUUUAACCAUAGGAAGCCCGCUCCCCACCACCCUGCCAUCAGCUCUCUUCUUCCUGUGUAGUGAGCACUGCUUCUUUGAGCUUCUGAAAGCUGUAGUCACUGCCUCUUGCUGGUAACUGAAAGCACAUUUCUAAGUUCGCAUAUUCCCUGACUUCUUGACAGCACUCAUGACUCGCCAUCUCCUUUUCUGGAACACUGUUUGCUUGGCUUUCACAAUAUCAUGCUUUUCUAGUUCUUUUUCCUGUUUUGGACACUGCUUUACAGAGAAUUAACAUUCCUCUUUUUCCCGCUGACCCUGAAUCAAGAAAGAAUCAUGUUUCUUUCUUUAUUUUUUAUAUCUUAACUUUUGAGGGGUAGAUUUUCAAGCAUACAUAAAAGUGAAGAGAACAGGAUAAUGAACUAGGUGUACACAUGACUGCAUCUUAUCAGUGCAAUACACACUCAUAUUACUUUUUCUAUACUUCAUCCAUUUUCUCCCUGCUCCCUGACUUGGAUCAAAUCCCAGACAUUACAUUAUUUAACCUGCAAAUAUUUCAUCAUAUAUAUGUGGGAAUAUAUAGAUCUCUAUCACUAUAUAUAGUGAGAAUUUCUUUCAAAGAAAAGAUAAUCACAAUAUUAUAAUCUCAUCAAAUGUAGUUGUUAUAAUUCCUUAAUGUCAGUCUAAUAACAAUCCUGUUUUCACAAUUUCUUCUCUUGUAGAUUUUUAAAAAUUAAUUUUGUUGAAUUGAAAUCUAAAUAAGAUACAGAGAUAAAGAUUCAUUGACAUGUCCCUUAAGUAUUUUAGUUUAUAGGCUGUCCUACUAUAUUCCCUGCCUCUUCUUGCAUUUUAUCUUGAUUCAGUUGAAAACUCUGGGUCAUUUGUCUUAUAAAGUUCAUGGGGUCUGCAAUUUGGUGAAGGUGUCCUUUUGGCAUUAUUUAACAUGCGUCUCUGUUCCUUGUAUUUUCUAGAAAUUAUUGGUUAUAUCUAGAGGUUUGAUCAGAUUUAGGUGAAAUUAUAAAAAGAUUCCGUCAUAGGUGAUUUUGUGAAGUUCCAUCAGAAGGUACCCAUCUGGUUUUCUCUCCUUUUGUGAUGCUAGCAGCCACUGAAUAUGGUAAUCUACUCCAAUCAUUAACUAAAUUUCUUUUCUGGAAUUAUUCCAAAAGAGAAACUUUUUUCAUCAUGCAUUUGGUUGUCCUGAGGUAUGAUUGUAUAGGAAAAACAGGAUAACCUACUGAUACUUUCUGUUUAAACUAGUAUUCAAAAUAAUAAAAGUAGUCCCCUAGUAUUAUCUAAAGAUUUCAAAAGACUUUUAAAAAAAUUAUUGAUGAUUUUAUGAGCUCAGGGAUUAAACAUAGUCAAUCUGUUUCAAUCCCUUGCAGUUAUUCCAAUUAAUAAUCAAAUUUUCCUGCCUUUGGCUUGCGGCAGCGUAUUCAUGUUGAAUUCUGGGUCACUUUGACAUGACUCCAGUUGUCUUUGAUGGUAUCCUUUUUGUGACAAAAUGUCCCAGGAUUAUAAUUUCCUGUCCCAUACUGGGAAACAGCCAGUUCUCCAAAGAGCUCUGGAACCAUUCAGUGAGAAAUGUAUUUAGAUGCAACAUUCUGGGUGCUAAGCAUGCCCAUUAACCUGAUCAAUCUCACGUCUUUCCUUUCUUUCAGCAUUGCCAGAAAACUCAUUUCUCAGUGACACCAUUGUAAUUACUCAUUUGAUUAUCCCGCAAUACACAUAUAAGAGUCUCAGGAAAACAGUACCAUCAGCAUUAUAUGAGCUAAUUAAAAAUGUGGUGUCCUGGACUCACGAAGCCAGAAUUGCUGAGGAGAUAGCCCGAGAAUCUGAAUUUUUAGCAGACAUUUUUUUAGCAUUUCUCUCAGGUACCUUACCCGCAGGAUCAUUUCUGUGAAUAUCCAUGAGGUGAAAAAGUCUGGGAAACACUGUCCUAGACAGGAAACGCCACGAAGUGUCUGGAUCAAAGAACAGACUAUUGCUCACAGAGCACCUUCAUAGCAUUGUUCCUCAUGCCCCCGUUGCCCAAGGGGAUGGCAGGUUGAGGACCAGAUGUACUUGCAUGUUCAGGGGAUGCAGCACAGAAGAGGAACUCCAAAAUUAUUAUUAUUAUUGUUAUUAUUAUUAUUUUUGAGAUGGAGUCUCGCUCUGUCGCCCAGCCUGGAGUGCAGUGGCGUGAUCUCGGCUCACUGCAAGCUCCGCCUCCCGGGUUCACGCCAUUCUCCUGCCUCAGCCUCCCGAGUAGCUGGGACUACAGGCACGCACCGCCACGCCCUGUUAAUUUUUUUUGUAUUUUUUUUUAGUAGAGACAGGGUUUCACCGUGUUAGCCAGGAUGGUCUUGAUCUCCUGACCUCGUGAUCCACCCGCCUCGGCCUCCCAAAGUGCUGGGAUUACAGGCGUGAGCCACCGCGCCCGGCCGAACUCCAAAAUUAUUAAACUCUGAGCGUCUGCAGGUGACUGACACAUCUGCGCUUCCUUUCUUCCAGGGUGUGGGGAAGAGCGAGAAAAAGAUUUCCGCUCUGGAAGGUAAACAAAUACUCUCUGGAGAGAGAAGAGGAAUGUCCCUAGCAGAUGUCUCCAGAGAAGACAAGACUUUAAAUUCCGCCAGGGAAAUAUACAAUGUCUAACUUCUAAGGCACAUUUGCCAUUCAAUCAUGCUUUAACCCACGUUGCCAGAAAUUUUUGCUCACUAGGUUUUGACUGUACAGGAAUGUGAAAAUAUUCAUGAAGAGUUGUUUUCCAAUGCUAAAGAAUUGAUGUGUUUUAACAGUUGAAUUAAUUGUAUUGAUUAUGAUCACACCUACUUUUUAUAUAUCUUCAUUUCUAACGUUUCUGUACAAUCCUGCCUUUCCACCUGAUAUAGUUAGGCCUUGUGUCAUCAACCAAAUCUCAUCUUGAAUUGUAAUCGCCAUAAUCCCCACGUAUUUAGGGAGAGACCUGGAGGGAGGUGUUUGGAUCAUGGGGGCGGUUUCCCGCAUGCUGUUCUCAUGACCAUGAGAGUAAGUUCUCAAGAGAUCUGAUGGUUUUAUAAGCGUCUGUCAUUUCCACUGCUUGCACUUCUGUGUCCUGCCACCUUGUGAAGAAGGACGUGGUUGCUUCCCCUUCCACCAUGAUUGUGUUUCCUGAGGCCUCCCCAGCCUUGCAGAGCUGUGAGUCAAUUAAACCUCUUUCCUUUAUAAAUUACUCAGUCUCUGUAUUCCUCUGCAGCAGUGUGAGAACAGACUAAUACAUCACCACUUUAUUUACUUUACUCUCUCCCCAUACCGAGGUUUUCUACAUUUUCUUUCUAGGUCUCUACAGUUUCUGCAAAGAUCCUUUAUGGAACUCUUAGGGAAGCUGGGAUGUAUAAUAAAUAAAGGGCUCUUUUCUUUGAGUCCCACACCCAUUUUCUGUGUAUAAAAAUCUUCAACUCCACUUUUGUCUGUUCUAUUUAAAUGUGUGCACAUUUCCUUCUAAUGUUGUAUAUGAAAAAGAGACACCUCUUAGCAGUCUUUCAUAGAGCAAAAUUUUUUACUUUGAUAAAAUCUAAUUUAUCAAUAUUUUUAAAUUUUAUGGAUCAAUCAUGCUUUUGAGGUUGAAUUUAAGAAUGCUUUGCCUAGCCCUAGAUCCCAAGUAUCUUUUAAAAAUUAUUUUUCUAAAUGCAUUAUUUAUGUUUUACACUUAAGUCUAUAAUCCAUUUUGAGUCCAUGUGUAAGAUUUAGGUUAAGGUCAAGAUUUAUCUGUUUUUGUUGUUUUCUCUAUAAAUGUCAAUUGCUCCAGCACUAUUUGUUUAAAAGCCAAUCUUUCCUCCGCUGAGUUCUUCCUAUAAGUUUGUCAAAAGUCAAUUUGGCAUCUUUGUAUAAGUUUAUUUCUGGAUUCUCUAUUCUGUUUUAUUGAUCACUGCAUCUAUCCCUCUUGAUUAGCUAGAUAAUAAAUCCUACAAUAAGGUAGAAUUCUUCCCACUUUAUUCAUAUUCAAAAUAUUUUAAAGCUAUUCUAGUUUCUUUUUAUUUCCAUAUAUAUUUUAGGAUAAUCUUAUCUAUAUUUACAACAUAUGUUGCUAGGAUUUUGAUAGAAUUUGUUUUAAAUUUGUGUAUCAAUGUAGGGAAGACCUGACAUCUUUACUAUUACGUUGAUCUUCCAAUCAAUGAAUAUGGUAUAUCUCUCAGUUUAUAGCUAUUGUCUUUAAUUUAUUUCAUCAUGGUUUUUAGUUUUCAGCAGAGAAGCUUUAUACAUGUUUUGUUAUACAUGUAUAACAAAAGAAGCCUUAUACACUGACAUUUUAUAUUUUGAACAAUUGUAAAUGGUAUUGUUUAAAAAUUUUGUUGUCUAUGAUAGAAAUAAAAUUGAUUUUUGUAGGUUUAUCUUGUAACCUAUGACUUGCUGAGCUCGCUCAUUAGUUUUUUUAUUGUGAUAAAAUAUACAUGAGAUAAAUUUCAUCAUUAUAAUCAUUAAGUUUAGACAUCAAUUGCAUUAAGUACAUAAAUGCCUUAUGCAACCAUCAUCUCUAUCCAUCUCCAGACCCUUUGCAUCACCCUAAAAUGAAACUCUGUGCCCAUUAAACAAUAACUCCCCAUUCUGCCCUCACCCCAGCCCUUGGUAAUUACCAUCCUACCUUUUAUCUCUAUAAAUUUAACCAUCCCAGGUAACUCAUAUAAGUGGAAUCAUGCAGUGUUUGUCCUUUUGUAACUGGUUUAUUUCACUUAGCAUGAUGUCUUCAAGGUUUGCCUAUGUCAUAGCAUGUGUCAGAAUUUCAUCCCUUUUUAAACUUAAAUAAUAUUCCACUGUAGGCAUAUGCCACAUUUUGUUUAUUUGUUCAUCUGUUGAUGGGCAUUUGGGUUGUUUCCACCUUUUGGCUACUGUGAAUAAUGCUGCUGUGAUCAUGGGUAUGCAACUGUCUCCUGGAGUCCCUGCUAUCAAUUCUUGUGGGUAUAUACCCAGAAGUGGAAUUGUUGCAACAUAUAGUAAUUCUAUGUUUAAUUUUUUGAGGACCUGCCAUAAUGUUUUCCACAGUAGCUACAUUGUCUUAUAUUCCCAUUAAGAGUUCCAAUUUCCUCACAUCUUCACCAAUACUUAUUGUUUUCUGUUUUUUUAAAUAAUAGCCAUCAUAAUAAAAGUAACAUGGUAUCUCAUUGUGGUUUUAACUGCAUUUCCCUUUUUACUGGAUUGUUUGUAAUAUUGCUGUAAUUGAGUUGUAGGAGUUUUUAAAUAUGUUCUGAAUAAUUAAUUUCUUAUCAGAUAUGUCAUUUGCAAAUAUUUUCUGCCAUUCUCUGGGUUGUCAUUUCACUCUCUUGAUAGUGUCCUUUGAUGCACAGAAGUUUUGAAAUUUGAUAAAGUUUAAUUUGCGUAUGUAUUUAUUUUGUUGCUUAUGCUUUUGGUGUCAUAUCCAAGAAAUUAUUGCCAAAUUCAGUGUCAUGAAGAUUUUCCCCUGUGUUUUCCUCUAAGAGUAUUAUAGUUUUAACUCUUGCACUUAGAUUGAUCCGCUUUGAGUUAAUUUUAGUAUAUGGGGUAAGACAAGGGCUCAAAUUUGUUCUUUUGUUUGAAGAUUCUAGGUCAUUUGUGAUCUUUAGGAUUUUCUAUGUAGACAUUAAUGUCAUCUUCAAAUAUGAACAGUUUAUUUCUUCCUUUUGUAUAUGUAUGAAUUUACUUUCCUUUUCUUGCCUUAUUGCACUGGCUAGAGUUUUCAGUACUAUGAUGAAUAAAAUCAGUGAGAGCAGACACCCUUGCUUUGUUUCUAAUCUUAGGAGGAAAGCUUUCAGUCUUUCAUCAUUAGGUAUACUGUUAGUUGUAGGCUUAUUAUAGAUGCUCUUUAUCAGGUUGAGGCAGUUUCCUCCUUGGUUAAGACUUUCUAUUUUUCAUUUUCAGUUAUGACCAGGCAUGUUCAUAACUGCUCAUCAAAACUUUGAAUUAGUGGCUGCUUUAACAUCCUUCUCAGACAAUUCUAACAUCUGUUUUGUUGGUGGUGGCAUCUAUCAAUUGUCUUUUUCAUUCUGUUUGAGAUCUUCCUUGCGUUUGGUAUGAUUUUUUUAAAUAUUAUGUCAUGAAACUGCAUCUUAUUUAAAUCUUCUGUUUUAGUUGGCUAUGUCUGACAUCACUUCCCCAGGGGAAGGUGUUGUUACUGCUAGUGGAGGGUGAGAAUUAUGGCUCUCCACUGACAUUGUGGUGGGAUUGGUCCCAUUACCACUGGGCAGGGUUGAAAGUCCUGACUUUCUGCUAGGCCUUCUCUGACUUCAUCGCAGCAGGAGGAAAAGAUGCCUCUGGAGUUGAAGUCAGGUUGCACUGACACUGUGUGUGUAUGGAGGUAGGCUGGGGUGAAAGUGGAGACUCAUUACCACAUGGUGAGUAGUUUCCAGCUCUCUAUUUGGCCUUCUCUGAUACCACCCAGACAGGGACAUUGGGGAUACCUCAUUACAGCCUAGUGAGGGUCAAACUCUAGGCUCCCCACUCAGUCUUUGCUAUCAUGGACACUGUAGGACCAUAGUUUUUUCUGUGCUGUUUGCUUGAUGUGUCUUCCUUGGACCCUGAGUUCCAUAGCUGGUCUGCAUUCCUCUCUCCACCUUUAAGACGUCUUCUUAUGUUUAUUUCAUAUUUAACAUCCAGGGUGGUAAUUAGAGGGAAGAAUAGAGGGAAAAGUACAGUUGCACUUUGUUGUUCAAAGAGCAGUUUUGAACUGCACAGACCCAUUUCUCUGAGCACACCCAGGGAUGAUUGUACUUGUAUAAAAUUUUUUUCCUGGAUGCAGAAUUCUCAAUUGACUGUGAAAGUUCAUAACAAAGAAAACAGUGGGGAAGACAAAUCUGGAAAUGAGGAAAAUAAAAAUUAAAUAGUGAGACCACCCAUGGAGCUUGUGGCAAAGCCUGAAUUGAAUCCGCUGUAUCUUAAGAUUGUGCCUCAUUCUAAAUUUAAGUCACCCUUCUCAUUAUGAAAGUGUCACAACUUCUCAGUAGGUGAGGAGACAGUCUAAAUUUGAGAAAAGAAAGUUACAACAAAGGUUUUGAGCAAGCUGCUAAGUGGAUUUAUUCAUGUUUGAGAAAUCAAAUAUAUGGUUAAUGAGCUCUUUAACUAGAAGCCAACACUAGGGAGGAGUAGACAGAAGUCACGGGGAGGGAGCCCCCGGACAUUUCAAAAGACUUUGCCCUGCAACAUCUCCUCCACAUUUAAGCUUUUAGGUUAUUGUAGCCACAUCACAAGCAUGUUACCUACCCAGAUAUUGUCUGCGCAUCAUUCCCAAAAGCUUCCCUGGGUCUUCAUAAUAUUAAUGAGAUUCUCCCCCAGGUUAGACCCCUUUGGCUUGAGUCAGAAACAGAAUUAAUCCGGGGGACAAUCCAGCAGCACCCAUCUCUGGGUUGCAGAAAUAUCUGAGGUGACCAGGCAGUGUUUGGAGUCCCCUCAGUUAGCUAACAAAGUGAGUUCACAGCUUCCAAGACCCCAGGCUUUCCAGGCUAAUAAAGAGCUGAGGUUAUAGGCUCUCCUUAUCAAACGCUCUUUGGCAGCUGCCAUAACCAUUCCAAGUCUAGUCCUAGAAUAGAAAUGACGCGGUUUCAGGAGCUGACAGAUGGAACUUUAAGCCUUCCUUCCUGCCACAUCUGAAGUUCUUUUUUAAAAAAAUAGAAAACCAUGACAAUAAACACUCCUUGAAUGCCCUGUGGAAAAGUGUACUCCUCAGAAUUCACUAAAGUGGGGUGAAGCAGUGGGUUGUGGUGCUGAGAAAACAUCUCUUCCCCUCGGCAGUAUAUUGGAAUCUCAUAGAAACUUCUGUGGCUGGGAAGCAAACAUGCUCUCUGCCCCAUUGCUCUUAUUCAUCUUUAGACCUGAUAAUACAGUUUGAACUUCAAGUUGCACUUUAAAUGGCAUGCAUUUUUA
rnacentral:lncRNA from 1 species